UACGGGGGGAGCAAGCGUUGUUCGGAUUUACUGGGCGUAAAGGGUUCGUAGGCGGUGUGGCAAGUCGGGAGUGAAAUCUCUGGGCUUAACUCAGAGGCUGCUUCCGAAACUGCCGUGCUAGAGUGCGGGAGAGGCGAGUGGAAUUGCAGGUGUAGCGGUGAAAUGCGUAGAUAUCUGCAGGAACACCCGUGGCGAAGGCGGCUCGCUGGACCGCAACUGACGCUGAGGAACGAAAGCUAGGGGAGCAAACAGG
rnacentral:rRNA from 1 species